rnacentral:tRNA from 1 species
GGAGAGGUGCAGGAGUGGUUGAACUGGCUCGCCUGGAAAGUGAGUGUGCGUUAACGCGUACCGUGGGUUCGAAUCCCACCCUCUCCGC